GGCUGGUCCAAGUGCAGUGGUGUUUACAAUGAAUAGAUCACAACCAGUUACAUAUCUCUUUGUUUCUUCUCCAUUCCCACUGCUUCACUUGACUAGCCUUUA
ensembl:Y_RNA Y_RNA Y RNA